rnacentral:rRNA from 1 species
AAAGAUUAAGCCAUGCAUGUCUAAGUAUAAGCAAUUAUACCGUGAAACUGCGAAUGGCUCAUUAAAUCAGUUAUCGUUUAUUUGAUAGUACCUUACUACUUGGAUAACCGUGGUAAUUCUAGAGCUAAUACAUGCUGAAAACCCCAACUUCGGGAGGGGUGUAUUUAUUAGAUAAAAAACCAACGCCCUUCGGGGCUUCUUGGUGAUUCAUGAUAACUUCACGGAUCGCAUGGCCUUGCGCCGGCGACGGUUCAUUCAAAUUUCUGCCCUAUCAACUUUCGAUGGUAAGGUAUUGGCUUACCAUGGUUUCAACGGGUAACGGGGAAU